rnacentral:rRNA from 1 species
GAUGAACGCUGGCGGCGUGCCUAAUACAUGCAAGUCGAGCGAACGGACGAGAAGCUUGCUUCUCUGAUGUUAGCGGCGGACGGGUGAGUAACACGUGGAUAACCUACCUAUAAGACUGGGAUAACUUCGGGAAACCGUAGCUAAUACCGGAUAAUAUUUUGAACCGCAUGGUUCAAAAGUGAAAGACGGUCUUGCUGUCACUUAUAGAUGGAUCCGCGCUGCAUUAGCUAGUUGGUAAGGUAACGGCUUACCAAGGCAACGAUGCAUAGCCGAGCUGAGAGGGUGAUCGGCCACACGGGAACUGAGACACGGUCCAGACUCCUACGGGAGGCAGCAGUAGGGAAUCUUCCGCAAUGGGCGAAAGCCUGACGGAGCAACGCCGCGUGAGUGAUGAAGGUCUUCGGAUCGUAAAACUCUGUUAUUAGGGAAGAACAUAUGUGUAAGUAACUGUGCACAUCUUGACGGUACCUAAUCAGAAAGCCACGGCUAACUACGUG